rnacentral:rRNA from 1 species
GUUAUUCGGCGCAAGGAUGCGGCACCUAGUCUAAAAUAAAUUAAAACGACUCUCGGCAACGGAUAUCUCGGCUCUCGCAUCGAUGAAGAACGUAGCGAAAUGCGAUACUUGGUGUGAAUUGCAGAAUCCCGUGAACCAUCGAGUCUUUGAACGCAAGUUGCGCC